CGACAUUUUUAUUAUUAUAAAUAAUAAUUAAUUCAUGCAAUAAUUAUAUAUAUAGGAUGCGUUGAAAUGAAAUUCCGAAUCAGCCUUGUCUACAAAACAAGAUGAGAGAUUCCAACUCGAACAUGUUAUGCUUCCAUUUGUACACUCUCGUCCCAAUCAAGUAAAUAUGAUUUAUUUUGUUUAAAAUUUGAAUCAAAUACAUUUAUUUUUGUCGUAAAUGGUAACUUUGCAGACGUGGCCCAAUUAAUCGGUUCAUUUUGAUCCUUAUUUUUUGUUAUCAGUCGCAAAUUGACUACAUGUAUAACAACUACCGCCUCCCAUUGAGAAUUGUUAGGCUUCGAAUCAUCAUAUGGUUUACUAACGUCCACUUUCAAUUCAUAGGCAGGUUUAGAUUCAUGAGAAAUAACUACAAAAAAAUGACAAAACAUAUAAAUAACAAUACAUAGAUGCAUUCAAAUUCAAAUCUACAAAAAAGUUGCAGGUGAGGAAAUAUUUCGGAACGUGUUUUUCGAACUAAAGUUCGGAAUCUGUUUUUCGAAUUAGUUUGGAUUCUGCUUUCUGAACCAAACCAGUGCCUAGGGACAAAAAUAGCAGCAACAAAUGGACAACAAAAUUGGUUGACAACGAAUAAUGUUAUUACCUUAUGUUUUAGCCUCAAAGAGUGUACAAA
rnacentral:lncRNA from 1 species